rnacentral:rRNA from 1 species
UACGUAGGGGGCAAGCGUUGUCCGGAUUUAUUGGGCGGAAAGAGCGUGUAGGCGGCCAUACAGGUCCGUUGUGAAAACUGGAGGCUUAACCUCCAGACGUCGAUGGAAACCGUAUGGCUAGAGUCCGGAAGAGGAGAGUGGAAUUCCUGGUGUAGCGGUGAAAUGCGCAGAUAUCAGGAAGAACACCCGUGGCGAAGGCGGCUCUCUGGGACGGUACUGACGCUGAGACGCGAAAGCGUGGGGAGCGAACAGG